rnacentral:rRNA from 1 species
UGGAAGGGUGAAAGCGUAACAAGGUCUCCGUAGGUGAACCUGCGGAAGGAUCAUUUA